rnacentral:rRNA from 1 species
ACGGAAGGCAGCAGUGGGGAAUAUUGCACAAUGGGCGCAAGCCUGAUGCAGCGAUGCUGCGUGAAGGAAGAAGGUUUUCGGAUUGUAAACCUCUGUCAACAGGGACGAAAAUGACGGUACCUGUGAAGGAAGCUCCGGCUAACUACGUGCCAGCAGCCGCGGUAAUACGUAGGGAGCAAGCGUUAUCCGGAAUUACUGGGUGUAAAGGGAGUGUAGGCGGGACUGUAAGUCAGAUGUGAAAUAUGCCGGCUCAACUGGCAGACUGCAUUUGAAACUGCGGUUCUUGAGUGAAGUAGAGGUAAGCGGAAUUCCUAGUGUAGCGGUGAAAUGCGUAGAUAUUAGGAGGAACAUCAGUGGCGAAGGCGGAUUACUGGACAGUAACUGACGGUGAGGCGCGAAAGCGUGGGGAGCAAACAGGAUUAGAUACCCUGGUA